UAUUGCUGUUAACAACAAUAGCUUUACACCAUUUGGAGGUGGGCAGAGGCUUUGCCCUGGUUUAGAACUAUCAAGGCUUGAAAUUUCAAUCUUCCUUCACCAUCUAGUCGUCACUUACAGAUGGGUUGCUCAGGAGGACGAAAUCGUCUACUUCCUGACGGUUAAGAUGAAGAAGAAACUGCCAAUCAAGGUCACUCCUAUAUGCAAACUAGAGGUAGUUUGGUCCAUCCAUGAAACACUAUACAAAA